rnacentral:lncRNA from 1 species
AAAUCAUAAUCCUUUUUCAUUACUAGAGAAGGAAUCCGCGCGCAUUACAACGAGUCGAUUAUACAACGAAUAAAUAAAAGAAACUGAGAAAAAAGAAACAACAAAAAUAUUAAAAAAAAAAGGCUUCUUUUGCAUUUAGCCCCCUGAUAAAUUUUUAUUUUAAAAAUAGCCCUGUCAAAAUUUAAUUUACAAAAAUGGCUCUAGACCUGCCACGCAAGCGCCACGUCAGCGCCACGCUGGCGGGACUUUCACCGUGUCUAAACACAGUGAACCAUUCACCGUGUCUAAACACGGUGAAUAGUUCACCGUGUUUAGUACGUAUUUUUUGUAUAUUGAAAAGAGGAAUAGGAGAUUUGUAUUCUUUUUCUUCUCUUUUUUAAGAAUCUGAAUCCGAACCCGAAAAUCAAAUUAAAAUCCAAAUUCGGAUCCGAACCCGACGGAUUUUAAAAAUUCAUACCCAUAUCCAUAUCCGACCAAAAACUCGAAACCCGAAUCUGAACCCAGUGGGUUUUAAAAAUCCAUACCGUUGGAUGAAGGUCUAAAAAAUAAAAAUUAUUAAAUAUUUUAUAUAUCGUAUAAAUAAAUAAAAAUAAAUUUUAUAUAUA